rnacentral:lncRNA from 1 species
GAGUCAUGGGAACUCGUGAGACUCAAAGCAAGUACAAGGUCCAGUGCCUGGGACAAUGCCUGACACUUAGCAGACAGUCAGUGAAUGUGUUAUAUAAAUGAAUGAAUACUUGGAGCGUGAGAAUCAGAGCGGCAAAAAUAUUUGUCCAUAAUAUGCCUAAAGAUAAAAACGGAAGCCUCAGAACUAGAUAAGUGCAUUGUAAUUGAAUGCUGAAUUCACAGAGAUAACAUCUGAG